GAAGGAUGGGCUCGCGUUGGAUUAGAUAGUUGGUGGGGUAACGGCCUACCAAGUCGACGAUCCAUAGCCGGACUGAGAGGUUGAACGGCCACAUUGGGACUGAGACACGGCCCAGACUCCUACGGGAGGCAGCAGUGGGGAAUAUUGCACAAUGGGGGAAACCCUGAUGCAGCAACGCCGCGUGAAGGAAGACGGUUUUCGGAUUGUAAACUUCUGUUCUUAGUGAAGAAUAAUGACGGUAGCUAAGGAGCAAGCCACGGCUAACUACGUGCCAGCAGCCGCGGUAAUACGUAGGUGGCAAGCGUUGUCCGGAAUUACUGGGUGUAAAGGGAGCGCAGGCGGGAAGCCAAGUCAGCUGUGAAAACUACGGGCUUAACUUGUAGACUGCAGUUGAAACUGGUUUUCUUGAGUGAAGUAGAGGUUGGCGGAAUUCCGAGUGUAGCGGUGAAAUGCGUAGAUAUUCGGAGGAACACCGGUGGCGAAGGCGGCCAACUGGGCUUUAACUGACGCUGAGGCUCGAAAGUGUGGGGAGCAAACAGGAUUAGAUACCCUGGUAGUCCACACUGUAAACGAUGAUAACUAGGUGUGGGGGG
rnacentral:rRNA from 1 species